AGACACUUAGCCGGCUGCAUCUCCUUUGCAGGUCCAUGAUGUACUCCGGUGAACUGAAGUUUGAGAAGCGGACGAUGUCGGCCCAGAUCGAGGGGGGCGUCCACGGCCUGCACUCUUACGAGAAGCGGCUGUACUGAGGACGGAUUCCGGAGCAGCGGCGCCCAGCGAGCGGCCCCCACCGUCCCGGCCCCCGUCGCCCGCUGCCGGCGCACCUGAAGGGGCGGGCUCACCUGGCCGCCCCCCCCUCCGGCCUCUCGGCCGUGCUGACAGUCAAAGACUUGCACUACGAACCACCUGGCUGGUGCCAGAGCCGUGUGCCACCCUCCUCCUCUCUCUCUGUCUCGUUCUGUCCAUCUCUUUCUUUCUGCCCCAGCGCUGGAGGGGGGGGUGACUGACUCUCCCCACCACGGCAGGACCUGCUGGCAGCCUCACGGAUCUCUGCCGGAAGUCGAGGGGGGCAUGACACCCCCUCCAUGCCCGCUCCCCUCCCCGGGGCACAGUUGAGGGGAGGAGGGGGCUAGUGGCCGGGCCCCCUGCUGUGGGAGCCAGAAUCCUGGGACCAGGUGCCCCCCCUACACCCCAAAUGGGGCUCCCCAAAUUCCCAGAGGCUGUUGGGGCCUAGGGGCUGCCCCCCUUCCCCUCUCUGCAGGGUGCUGCAGCCCCCUCCCCAGCCAGGCUUGCUGGAGCACCCGCUUUCCCCACUGAUGUUAAUGGGGGGGGGGCAGAAAUGGGGAGAGCCAGGGAAACGUCCCCAGGGGACUCUCCACCCCAUCUCAUCUCAGGACCCUCGGGAGGUUUGUGCAGCUGCACUUGGGGGGCACUGAGGCAGUUGGUUUGGGGGUCACAGCCUCCCCCUUAAAGCCGAUAGGGCCGCAUCCUGCCCCGUUUGGGUCUCGUCCCUGCCAAGCGACGGGGGCAGCAGACCCUCGCCCUCCUCUUGGCCGCUGGGGGUGGGUGGGGGGCAGCUGCUGCUGCUGCUGGCCAGAGCCCCGCUGGUUCUUGGGGGCUCCUUCAGAGUUGCCCCCCUCCCUCCCCCCCUCGCCUCAAGGCUGUAACUCUUGCGCAUGCUCAAGGUCUCCUCUUGUGUCACUGUGUAUUAUUAAAGAAUAAUAAAGCUA